AGCACUGCGGGGCCCUGAGGGGCCCUGAGGGGCAUUGCGGGGCACUGUUCCCACCGCCCCGCUCCCGCAGGGACAGCCCGGGACACACGGCACAGAACUGCGUCCAGACGGGUCUGGUAUGCCUGCGGUGCGGGAGACUCCGCACCAUGUGUGCGUAAUCUGUUCUAGUGCCCGGUCACUGCACGGGAAAGAAGUUCUUCCCCGUGUUCAGAUGGAACUUCCUGGGGCUCAGUUUCUGCCCAUGGCCUCUUGUCCCAUUGCUGGGCACGACCGAGCAGAGCCUGGUCCAUCCUGUUGACGCCCUCCCUUCAGAAGCUGAUGGGCACUGGCGAGGUCCCCUCAGGCUUCUCCAGACAAACAGGCCCAGCUCCCUCAGCCGCUCCACAUCAGACUCCGGGCCCUAAAACGUGUCCAUUCCCUCUGCCGGAGAACCAGAGAAAUUACCUUAGCACCUUGCUUUAUGAUGCUGGCUGCUUGUGGCUGUUCAGGAAAAGAACACCUUGAAUGCAGCUGCCAACCAGCUUGCCAAGUUUAGUCUUCCAGGAUGAGAAAGCCUUGCAGUUCAGGGGUAGCCACUUCACAGAGGCUGGUAUAUUCCCAGGGACAUCUUUGUGGCUUUGGGCAGGGAAACUGUAAACACUGAAUUCUAGAAGCAAAACUAAGGCUGACUAUUGACACAAUACUGCUGGGUGUCCUUGCUAGGCCCCAUCCUGCACUUCCCAUUUCUCAAAGGACAUAAAGAUGGAAUGUGUAUGACAGGCAACAGAGUCUGAAGAGGAACACCAGGGUGUGCUCUGACAUGGAAGGAAUCUAAUCACAUCUACCAUGACAGCAGGUCUUAGCAGUCCUCUUCCAUCAGAUCAGGUAGAAAAGAGUGGGCUACAGCUGGAGCAGGAAGAAUCUCAAAACUUCUCCCUUCACAGGCUCCCCAAAGCCUCUGAGCAUUUGCCAUCACUCUUUCAUGGUACUGGGGAAUGUGACAGCAUUGGGGUACUUCCAUGCUAGCACAGCGCAGUGACUUCUUCCCUUGUGCACAGGUAGUUCCAGCACCCCUGGGCUGUGAUGUGCAGGAUGAGCACACCCUGGCUCUUGUGGUUAAGAUGGUGUCUAGAUCUCCAACCUGCAAAGGACAUUUAGACUGCAUGGGACACCACCAGCUUGCAACCAGAAUGCAGGCAAGAGAUCAAGCAAGUUUUUGGAACUGGCUUCUGUGUCUUCCGUGUAUUUGAAAGGUCACUUUGCUGCUGAUGAGAAGGAAACUGCAGGAUUCAUCUGCAGAGAGAGAAGCUAAUUGCUCAACAUUUCAUGUAAGUACACUCAGACUCUUGCAAGCUGUUCAUUACCAUUUUUACCCUGACUGCAAUGGAAUUACUUAACAUUUCAAACCAUCAGACACACUCAAUCACAGAGCUCUGCAGACAUCACUGCAUUUAAAACGCCACUUCUUUCAAGUGCACCACAAGUAGUGGUGUUCAUUUUCCAUCAAGUCAGAAAACCACUGUUACUAUCACAGCAGUUUCUGCGCUUCCUAAGCCUAUUGCAAAUACUUAGAUUUCUAUCAUACCAUAUACCCUGUGUAAUAUUGACCUCCCCUCCCUUUUCUGCCCACCCCUCACAGCCUCAGUGUCAGUUCUGUCAAUAUAUUAUCUGCUUCUCUCUCUCCCUUUGUUUGCUGUAAACCAAGCCCUGGCAUCUGCGAGCCCUGUGUUUGACAAUAGCGAGCUAUUGAAUUCUUUGGUUACACCACACGAGGGUUUUUCAGGCUGUGCAGGAUGCCAGAAUCAAUCUGGAAGUCAUCCCAUUUGGAAAGGAACCAAGGGGCAAACAGAUACAUUAUUUUUCCACUAAUUUAAAGUUUUAAACUGGUACUGGAGACUGUGAAAGUAAAAAAAUGAAACAUCAUAAACUAGAAAACAGAUGGAAGAGGAAUUUUAAAGACAUAAUCAGAUAGUCCCUGAAAUCAAAUUAUCUUUACUGGGGACUUCCCUGAGCUUUGUCUUGUCCUGAAGGAAUAAUUUCAAAUGUAAUAUGAUGCAAUAUUAUUUCUAUUAAAAUCUCCUUAGAUGAUAAGCUAUCAUUAUCCUUGUAUGGAGCUUUUUAGGAGCUUUCCAUUGGUUUGUUGCUCAAAAGUUAACUGCAGAGUCAGGAAGAAUUGCUUACUAACAUAAACAAUAAAUAAAACAAAAUUUCUCCUUUGUAUCCUGCUUCUCCUGGAGUCAAAGUGUACACAGAUCUUUCUAAUGUUUGCCACUUCUAGCACGUGAUGGCUUUAAAUCCAGCAAAGACCGUGCAAAGAAACCAAUACCCUAUAUAAAAGGUAUAAUUUCUGUGUACAGAAAUUUGUAAAGCAAACACAGACACUGAAAUGAAGCUGGAGCACUUCUCAAAGCUUUCAACACAGCUGCAAGGCAAAGAACAUUCCUGAAAAGAGAAAACUCCCUACGUCUGUAUUAAGAUGUGUGAAACAGCCAUCCCAGGAAAUCCCAAGUGGUAAAGCCUAUUAUCAGCCACUUCUAUCUAGGGAGUCUGGCCCUGGGAUGGCCAGGGAGCCUGUGCUCUCCCACAGCCUGCUCCCUGCUCCCAGGCACUGCCACACCUCUUCCUGCAUUCCAGUUACUGCAGCACACCGUGCAAACUAUAGGGAUGCUUCUUAAAUAAACAAACCAGGCUUAAUGAAUUUACAGAACUAAAAGGUGCCUUGUAAGAGAAGCCGCUGCAAUACUGCUUGAAAAGGAUGUGUGAUUCAGAGUGAGGCAGAAAGGUAAUGGGAUGGCUGUCGGAUUUGCCAGGAGCAGGGCAUCCUCUAAGCUCAAAGCUGUUGUCAGAGAGGUGGGAACAGGCUGAGGACAGCUGUCUGCUCCACGUAGCCUAUGGGCUUGGGGCUGACAGCCUUUCCUGGCCCAGGAAGGGUCCCCCAGCAGGGUCCAGCACCACUUGGAUACAACAGGUAGGAAUACAAACCACAGAGUGCUGGGAAGGGUCACUCACUCCACUGAAGUCCCCAGGCCUUACCACUGACUUGAUGAGGCACAUUAGCAACUGCAAACAAAUACCAUGAACAAAUUCUUUCCUUUUGCCAUUUUUUCCCCCUCACCCUGCUGCAUUCACCAUCUCCUCAGGAGCAGAUGAAAACCACUUGUGCAUAAAACCACAUAGCUUCCUAGCUUUCCAGUGUGUUGCUUUUAUGGCUGUGUAAUGCAGGUAUUAAAGACCACAUGCAGCAGACCCAGCUAAUUUCACAGUAUGACAUUACAUGUGACCUCAGAUUCUAACUUGGGUCUGCUUUGCAGGUUUUAUUGUGUCAUGGAUUUGCAUUUAGCAAUGUGGUUUUGGCUGGGGUAGAGUUCAUUCUCUUCAUAGUAUCUGGUGUGAGGAUUUAUGAGGUGGUGUUUUGGGUUUAUGAUAGAAACAGUGUUGAUAAUGCAGAAAUAUUUCCAUUUCUGCUGAGCAGUGCUUACACAAUGUCAUAGCCUUUUCUGCCUCCCACCCCACCAGUGAGUGGGCUGGGGGUGCACAAGGAGUUGUGAGGGACACAGCUGGGACAGCUGGCCCCAAGUGACCACAGGGAUGUCCCACACCAUAUGGUGUCGUGUUUGGCAUAUAAAGCUGGGGAAGAAGAAGGAAGAGGGGAACAUUCAGAGCGAUGGUGUUUUGCCUUCCCAAUUCACCAUUUAUACUUGAUGGAGUCUGGCUUUCCUGGCAUUGACUGAACACAUGCCUGCCCAUAGGAAGCAGUGAAAAAAUUCCUUGUUUUAAUUUGUGUGUAGCUUUUGUUUUCCCUGUUAAACUGUCUUUAUCUCAGCCCAUGAUUUUUCUCACUUUUACUCUUCCAGUUUUCUCUCCAUCCUACUGGUAGAAGUGAUCUGCCAGCUGGGGUUAAACCACAACAAACAUUUACAACUCUCUCAAAAAAUUAGUAAAAACAAUAAAAACCUUUUCUAUGCCCACACAGCAAACUUUGAACAUUCUCCACUUACAGAAAAGCAUUUAUCUAAUACUUCCAUAAACACCUUCAAACAUCUGCUAGGUAACUUGAUCUGGGUCAAAUAAUUCCAGAGCU